UGGGCAACCUGCCCUCAGCUCUGGGAUAACUCCAAGAAAUUGGGGCUAAUACCGGAUAUGACUGCUGACCGCAUGGUCUGGUGGUGGAAAGAUUUAUCGGCUGGGGAUGGGCCCGCGGCCUAUCAGCUUGUUGGUGGGGUAAUGGCCUACCAAGGCGACGACGGGUAGCCGGCCUGAGAGGGUGACCGGCCACACUGGGACUGAGACACGGCCCAGACUCCUACGGGA
rnacentral:rRNA from 1 species